rnacentral:rRNA from 1 species
GAUGAACGCUGGCGGCGUGCCUAAUACAUGCAAGUCGAGCGAACAGACGAGGAGCUUGCUCCUCUGACGUUAGCGGCGGACGGGUGAGUAACACGUGGAUAACCUACCUAUAAGACUGGGAUAACUUCGGGAAACCGGAGCUAAUACCGGAUAACAUGUUGAACCGCAUGGUUCAACAGUGAAAGACGGUUUUGCUGUCACUUAUAGAUGGAUCCGCGUCGCAUUAGCUAGUUGGUAAGGUAACGGCUUACCAAGGCAACGAUGCGUAGCCGACCUGAGAGGGUGAUCGGCCACACUGGAACUGAGACACGAUCCAGACUCCUACGGGAGGCAGCAGUAGGGAAUCUUCCGCAAUGGGCGAAAGCCUGACGGAGCAACGCCGCGUGAGUGAAGAAGGUCUUCGGAUCGUAAAACUCUGUUAUUAGGGAAGAACAAAUGUGUAAGUAACUAUGCACGUCUUGACGGUACCUAAUCAGAAAGCCACGGCUAACUACGUG